CCUACGGGUGGCAGCAGUGAGGAAUAUUGGUCAAUGGCCGGAAGGCUGAACCAGCCAAGCCGCGUGAAGGAUGAAGGUGCCAAGCGUUGUAAACUUCUUUUGUCAAGGGACAAAAUCAGGCACGAGAGCCUGAUCGUAGGUACUUGAUGAAAAAGCAUCGGCUAACUCCGUGCCAGCAGCCGCGGUAAUACGGAGGAUUCGAGGUUUAACCGGUUUUAUUGGGUUUAAAGGGUGCGUAGGCGGAUUGUUAAGUUAGUGGUAAAAGCUUGGGGCCAAACCCCAGCUAGCCGUUGAAACUGGCUGUCUUGAGAUGUCGAGAGGUAUGCGGAAUGCGCAGUGUAGCGGUGAAAUGCUUAGAUAUUGCGCAGAACUCCGAUUGCGAAGGCAGCAUACCGGCGGCGAUCUGACGCUGAGGCACGAAAGCGUGGGUAUCGAACAGGAUUAGAUACCCCUGUAGUC
rnacentral:rRNA from 1 species